UCCUCGAGCUGCAAACCUAAUACUCCCUUUACCUGUAACACUUUCUAUUUUUUCCCAUUCCUACAGCAAGACACCCUAUCUUAUGACAUGAAGACACAGAAGAUUGUAGAGAAGUUUGUGGACUGCGGUAUUUCCAUCAUUCCCAACGCUAAGGUAGCAUGGCAUCUCAUAAAAGUGGGAUUGCGUGUGGCAGGUUAGAUGUCAGACCGCCCCGAGAAACGUAAAGGUGACGCAACAAUAAUUUGGAGCAUCUUAUGUCAGCCAGACUUCCACAGAUAAUGUUUCAGGUGCCUUGUGGUUAAAUGGAAAGGUGUAUAGCAUACAUCGAAAACUCGUGUUCCUUCUGUUUAUUUUUUUUUUUUUGGUGCAUUAAAAUGACUAUGCAGAAAAUCAUG